rnacentral:rRNA from 1 species
CCCUACUCCUACGGGAGGCAGCAGUAGGGAAUCUUCCGCAAUGGGCGAAAGCCUGACGGAGCAAUGCCGCGUGAGUGAUGAAGGUUUUCGGAUCGUAAAGCUCUGUUGCCAGGGAAGAACGCUUGGGAGAGUAACUGCUCUCAAGGUGACGGUACCUGAGAAGAAAGCCCCGGCUAACUACGUGCCAGCAGCCGCGGUAAUACGUAGGGGGCAAGCGUUGUCCGGAAUUAUUGGGCGUAAAGCGCGCGCAGGCGGUCAUGUAAGUCUGGUGUUUAAUCCCGGGGCUCAACCCCGGAUCGCACUGGAAACUGCGUGACUUGAGUGCAGAAGAGGAGAGUGGAAUUCCACGUGUAGCGGUGAAAUGCGUAGAGAUGUGGAGGAACACCAGUGGCGAAGGCGACUCUCUGGGCUGUAACUGACGCUGAGCGCGAAAGCUGAACAGGCUUC